GUCUUCCAACACAACAGUAAAGCAAUUCUUAUGCUCCUUCACUUUCCACGUAUUUAUCGAAGGGUGACUUACCUUUAUGCUAUGCUUCUCAGCACCUGCGCAUUUGGAAAGAGUGUUGAAAGAACAAAUCGCUGAGGGACAACCUAGGACACACAGACCCUGGAAGAAAAUCAUCGUUGUUGUUGAGGGUAUUUACAGCAUGGAAGGGGAAAUUUGUCAACUGCCUGAGAUUGUCUCAAUAUGCAAAAAGUAUAAGGUAAACCAUCCCCUUUUUUUCAGUAUCGAUGAGAGUUUAAGAAACUCUUUGGCAAAAGAGUUCUUGUAAGCUAAUUUCUCUAACAUUGUUUCAGGCUUAUGUCUACUUGGAUGAAGCUCACAGCAUUGGAGCAAUUGGAAAAACAGGCAGGGGAGUUUGCGAGCUUCUUGGAGUUGACACUGCUGAUGUGGACAUAAUGAUGGGAACUUUUACCAAAUCUUUCGGAUCUUGUGGUGGCUAUAUUGCCGGAUCCAAGGUUAGCAAUUAAUUAGUAUGUACUUUUUGUUUACAUAGCAUAUUGUUUAGGCAAGUGGUAGUGCACUUCAUCUUGAAAUCCGCCAAAGUUCUAAUAAUGGUGCUUUCAAUUUCUGCAGGACCUUAUCCAAUAUUUGAAGUACCAUUGCCCGGCUCACCUUUACGCAACAUCAAUCUCAACUCCUUCCGCGCAACAAAUCAUAUCGGCCAUAAAAGUUAUCCUUGGAGAGGACGGUUCUAACAGAGGUAUCUCUAUAGUUUGGUUUGCUCUCAUAAUCUUAAGUUAUAUAUAGUGUCUCAAAAUUCUGCUAAAACCCCUGGGCAGGUGCACAAAAGUUAGCAAGGAUAAGGGAGAACAGCAACUUUUUCAGGGCUGAGUUGCAGAAGAUGGGAUUUGAGGUUCUUGGAGACAAUGAUUCCCCAGUCAUGCCGAUAAUGCUUUACAAUCCUGCGAAAAUCCCAGCCUUCUCAAGGGAAUGCUUGCGAGAAAACGUAAGUGGAACUAUAUUAUACUUUCUCCCAAUAUUUAAUUUGCCUCCCAUACCAGAGAUCAUUAACAUCUAUGCUCAAAACUGUGAACAGGUGGCAGUUGUGGUUGUUGGUUUCCCAGCUACACCUCUGUUGCUAGCCAGGGCUCGUAUUUGUAUAUCCGCAUCUCACUCGAGAGAAGAUCUUAUUAAAGCUCUACAGGUAAACAAAAAGCUUGCAUCACUUGCUCUCUCCCUCCUAUAUUAUUUACCAUAGAGAACUCGAUUCUAUACAUAGUACUUACUAUAAAUGAUUCGAGUUCAUCCACAAAUUGAUUUUGUAUAUUAUAAAUUUGUGCGUGUUAUAUGACAGGUUAUAAGCAAAGCAGGUGACCUUACCGGAAUCAAAUAUUUUCCAGCGGCUCCAAAGAAGCAAGAAGAAGUGAAAGAUACCAUCAAAUUGGACUAAAACGAGGGGGUAAUGGCAUCAUCAAUUUCUAGUACCAGAAGAGGUUCGUCUUUUGUUGGUGUCCCUUCUACUUGUCUUGAAACUUUGUGAUCCUUCUUUCAUUUUGGUUCCUUGGUUUUGUCACAGUUAAAAUUGUAUAGUUGACUUCUUUAAGAACAGAUAUGACAUUUUGUGCUUCACGAAACUAUGUAAAGACCAAUCGUUUCUUUUUUCUUCUUUCCUCUUCUGCUUUGCUUCCACAGAUCGUCAGCAUGUGGGACUCGAUUCUUUUUACCAACCCGAAUGCCAAUCUUUCACAUUUAACUCUAAUCCACAACCAAACCUAAAAUCAUCAUAUAUCCAUGUCUCACUGUUUCGAUGUUCUUAAAAAAAAAAAAAANNNNNNNNNNNNNNNNNNNNNNNNNNCUCACUUUUUUGAUGUUCUUAAAAAAAAAAAAAAAAGAAGCUGUGUGAACAAAAUAAACUAAUUACCUGCUCCGUUUCUACAUACUGAGAUAGCUAAACACUUAACCUAUUCAAUUGCAAGUUCCUUAUCAUCAAGACCACCCGUGGAAACGUCUCAGGCGAAUCAAAAGGAGUAGAAAACCUUCUUCUUUUUCACUUCUACUUAUACAAACACUAGUACAGUAGCUAAUGCUACAAUCAAAAACUAAACAGCAAAGAUGAGAAACAAUCAGAGGAAUGGCAUACUAAGGCAAAAAGGACGAAAAGGCUUUCAGACAUUGCCAUGUCUGACUAUCUCACCAACAAACAACAAAAACACAGUCGAAAUUCUCCAACAUCCAUCAGGAGAACUCCCUACCAAGCUUCUGAAUAGCAGAGAACAUCUUCCUCCUGGACCCAACAGCAUUAAUCCCCAUAUCUUUCAAAUCCUCCAAGGUCAACAACGGCAAAACCUCUUCAUCAACCUCAUGUAUCUCAAACAUUGGCCAGUACCUCCCUAACCCCAGCUCUUGCAGCCAAAUCUUCACCCCUUCUCUUCCCUCCAUAUUGGAGGGCUCUGACAACUCAAACUCUCUGUUGUAAUACCCACCACCGUCUCUCACUAAAGACUCGUCCUUUAUCGGACUCUCCGAAUCUUCUCUACUGAAAUCCCUAUACCCCCCACCUUCCAGCUCAUCGCCGUGAUCCAUUUCCCCAACUCUCGACACCCAAUUGGAUCUCACUCGCUUCGUCGACGGCCCGACCCGUUUCUUGACCCGCCAGCUCCCGACACCGAAAGAAUCGACAUUCACUUCCCUUUCGUCACCUAGGUUAUCGUACCCAGAACUCAAUUUAUGCUAUGCUUCUCAGCACCUGCGCAUUUGGAAAGAGUGUUGAAAGAACAAAUCGCUGAGGGACAACCUAGGACACACAGACCCUGGAAGAAAAUCAUCGUUGUUGUUGAGGGUAUUUACAGCAUGGAAGGGGAAAUUUGUCAACUGCCUGAGAUUGUCUCAAUAUGCAAAAAGUAUAAGG
rnacentral:lncRNA from 1 species